CCUACGGGUGGCAGCAGUGGGGAAUAUUGGGCAAUGGGCGCAAGCCUGACCCAGCAACGCCGCGUGAAGGAAGAAGGCCCUCGGGUUGUAAACUUCUUUUAUCAGGGACGCAGCAGUGACGGUACCUGAUGAAUAAGCCACGGCUAAAGACGUGCCAGCAGCCGCGGUAAUACGUAGGUGGCAAGCGAUAACCGGAUUUGCUGGGUGUAAAGGGCGUGUUGGGGGGGAAGCAAGUCAGAUGGGAAAUUCCAGGGCUCAACCCUGGAACUGCAUGUGAAACUGUUUUUCUUGAGUGAUGGAGAGGCAGGCGGAAGUCCGUGUGUAGCGGUGAAAUGCGUAGAGAUACGGAGGAACACCAGUGGCGAAGGCAGCCUGCUGGACAUUAACUGACGCUGCGGCGCGAAAGCGUGGGGAGCAAACAGGAUUAGAUACCCCUGUAGUC
rnacentral:rRNA from 1 species